rnacentral:rRNA from 1 species
GCAGAGAUUACCUCUUGUACCUUUUGCAUCAUGAUUUAGCCAGAAACCCCAAGCAAAGAGCACUUUAGUUUGACUCCCCGAAACUAGCGUGAGCUACUCCAAGACAGCCUAUCUAUAGGGCAAACCCGUCUCUGUGGCAAAAGAGUGGGAAGAGCUUUGAGUAGAGGUGACAAACCUACCGAACCUAGCAAUAGCUGGUUGCCUGAAAACUGGAUAUAAGUUCAGCCUCCCGGCUUCUCCAUACACCGCGAGAGUUAGUCAAAGGGGGUACAGCCCCUUUGAACCAAGACACAACUUUACCAGGUGGGUAAAGAUCAAAAUAUACCAAGGGAAUAUGUUCUGGUGGGCCUAAGAGCAGCCAUCCAAAUAGAAAGCGUUCAAGCUCAGACAUCCAAUCCCGAUAACCCAAUCUUAUCCCCCUAAACUUACCAGGCCGCCCCAUGCAACCAUGGGGGUGUCCAUGCUAAUAUGAGUAAUAAGAGAGCCCUCUCUCCCCGCAUAAGUGUAAAUCGAAACGGACCCCCCAUCGAUAUUUAAACGGCCCCACACCAAGAGGGCAUUAGGAAGCAACAAGAAAAUCGCCUACCGUUAACCCCACACUGGUAUGCAUCUCGGGAAAGACAAAAGGAAAAAGAAGGAACUCGGCAAAUAAGCCUCGCCUGUUUACCAAAAACAUCGCCUCUUGCAAAAAUAAGAGGUC